UGGGGGAUAUUGCACAAUGGGCGAAAGCCUGAUGCAGCGACGCCGCGUGGGGGAUGAAGGCCUUCGGGUUGUAAACUUCUUUUGCUCUGAACAAGGCGCACCAUGGGGUGUGUUGAGUGUAGGGGUUGAUUAGCGCCGGCUAACUACGUGCCAGCAGCCGCGGUAAUACGUAGGGCGCGAGCGUUGUCCGGAAUUAUUGGGCGUAAAGGGCUUGUAGGUGGCUGGUUGCGUCUGUCGUGAAAGCUCAUGGCUUAACUGUGGGUUUGCGGUGGGUACGGGCUGGCUUGAGUGCAGUAGGGGAGGCUGGAAUUCCUGGUGUAGCGGUGGAAUGCGCAGAUAUCAGGAGGAAUACCGGUGGCGAAGGCGGGUCUCUGGGCUUUUACUGACACUGAGGAGCGAAAGCAUGGGGAGCGAACAGG
rnacentral:rRNA from 1 species